rnacentral:lncRNA from 1 species
CUUUUCAGCAAGUGCCCAAUUCAAGUCGCUGAGAAGUUGUAGAUCGGGCGAGUCAAUUUUUCCUUUUGCUCUUCGAAGCUGGGCAUGCACAAGUUCAAUCUGGAAAAUUUUAAAAAGUUAGUAUUCAGCCAUAAUUCUUAAUCAAAUUACCAAAUACAUACCAUAUGAAUGUAGCUGAAAAGUAUACUAGCAGAAAAAAUGUGGGACACAUGCAUGGAUGAUGGUGGGGACAAGUCAAAGAAAGGAAUAUGGCAUAUGGGAUCUUUUGACAUUCGAGAAAACCACAUAUCUGUGCAUAUAACUUUCACAUGUACACAUUGGCUUGCUUGGGUGGGGUGGGGUGGGGAUGGAUGGAGAUGUUGUGUUGUGUCUUACCAAUCUUUUCUUGUUGCCAGUUGUUCUUUUAGACUCAAUGGCUCGCAAGUCUAUCCGGCUGUAUUAGCCCUCUUCAACAAAAUGAAUCAAAACAGUCAAAAGAGAAGGGAAAGCUUCAUUUAUUUAUAUUUGCGUUCGAUUGCUCAACUAAACCCAAAUUGGACCACCACAAAAGGACAAGAAAAAGGCAGUGAUUGGAUGUGCAAAGUUCUUGUCCUUGCUGAAAUACAAAAGGGCAACAUCUAUUGUGGCUAUCCAUAUCUAUAGUCUGCUGCUAGUGCAGGUACAAUAGUUAUUAUUCAUGCCAUCAGCUAUGUGAUAGAAGAAAUUGACUUUCAAAACAUUGCAUAUAAUAUGCAUGUAAUAACUAUAUAAUUUUUUUUUCUCAUUUUCCAUCCAACUUAUCCAAGCAAUAUUUUUUCAGAAUAAGUGAGGCACAGGAAACAUGGAGGGAGGGACAUGUCAUGGCAGUGAGGAAUCAGCUUUUUUUAAAAAAAAAAAAAAAAUCUUUUCUUGAGGAAAGAGGAGGCAGCAACACAAAAUGCAUGUGAUUAAUAAAACUAGACACAUUUUCAUAAGAGUAUUGGUGCUCCAGAUAUGUAUGGUUUGUGCCCAU